UUUUUUUUUUUUUUUUUUUUUUUUUUGCUUUUUAGGGCUGUACUCAUGAUAUAUGGAGUUUCCCAGGCUAGGGAUCUAAUCCAAGCUACAGCUACCAGCCACAGCUGCAGCCACAGCAAUGUCAGAUCCAAGCCGUGUCUGCAGCCUACACCAUAACUCACAGCAAUGUCAGAUCCUUAACUCACUGAUCAAGGCCAGGGAUCAAACCCGCAACCUCAUGAUGACAGUUGGAUUUGUUUCUGCUGGACCACAAUGGGAACUCUGUUCCUGGGUCCUAAUUUGCAUCAUAGCUUUGAGAUUGCAUGAAAUUUACUAGAUGAAGCCUUCUCCAACUGGGAAUCUUGUUAAAAUGUAGUAUCAGAUUCAGUAGACCUGAGACUCUGCACUUCUGACAAGCUCUCAGGUGUUGGCCAACAGUUUGCAUCCUCAGACCACCCUUUGGACACAAGCCUCAAUCAGAAACACUCUGUGGAAAGGGUUAUAUUUUUUAUAUAUAAUGAUUUUUAUUUUUUCCAUUAUAGCUGAUUUACAGUGUUUUGUCAGUUUUCUACUGUACAGCAAGGUAACCCAGUCACACAUGUAUACACUCUUUUUUCUCACAUUAUCAUGCUCCAUCAUAAGUGACUAGAUAUAAUUCCCAGUGCUACACAGCAGGAUCUCAAUGCUUAUCCAUUCCAAAGGCAAUAGUUUGCAUCUAUUAACCCCAUAUUCCCAAUCCAUCCCACUCCCUCCCCCUUGGCAACCACAAGUCUGUUCUCCAUGUCCAUGAUUUUCUUUUGUGGAAAGGUUCAUUUGUGCUGUAUAUUAGAUUCCAGAUAUAAGUGAUAUCAUAUGUAAUUUGUCUUUGUCUUUCUGACUUACUUCACUCAGUAUGAGAGUCUCUAGUUCCAUCCAUGUUACUGCAAAUGGCAUUAUUUUGUUCUUUUUUAUGGCUGAGUAGUAUUCCGUUGUGUAUAUAUACCACAUCUUCUUAAUCCAAUGGGAAAGGGUUAUGCUUUUUUUAUUUGUUUGUUUAUCUCAUUUAAAAUUUUUUACUGAGGAAUUCUCAUUGUGGCUCAGUGGGUUAGGAACCUGACUAGUAUCCAUGAAGAUGCGGGUUCAAUCCCUGUCCUCACUCAUUGGUUUAAGGAUCGGGCAUUACUGCAAGCUGCAGCAUAGGUCACAGAUGCAGCUCAUAUCUGACAUUACUGUGGCUGGGGUAGAGGCUGGCAGUUGUGUCUCUGAUUCAACUCCCCAUUUGGGAACUUCCAUAUACCACAGGUACAGCCCUAAACAGGAUAACAACAACAGCAACGUAUUGGAAUAUAGUUGACUUACAAAGUUGUGUCAGUUUCAGGCAUACAGCAAAGUAAAUCAGCUAUAUGUGGAAGGAGUUAUUCUUAAGGCAUCUGAGAGCUUACCCUGGGUCCAGAACAGUCUCUGGAUUUAUGUCCAUUAAGCAAGAUAGCUGAGGUAGCAUCUAGAGGUAUUGUACUGUGUGGCAUUACAAGGGAUUUCUUCUCCAGGGCCACUGUGGAGAAAGGCAAACAUGUUCCUCAUACGGUGCCAUGCAACGGUGUACUGACCCUGGCUUGCACCUGAACUAUAUGCAUGCCUCUUAUGGCAACUCAGUGCUUAGUGACAUGAUGUUGAUAGCUUGAAAUCAGCUUUGGCGGCGGUAUUUACACCAUGGAAAUUGGCAAAUGCUGCAAUUCAAGGCUUUUCCCUCCACAAAGCCAUUUUACCAGCAUAUCACUCUGACCAUAGUGUUCAGUAGAGAGACUGUGCAGAUUCCCGUGUGGCUCACGGGUGGGAACAAUGAGCUCCCGCCAUGGUUUCUGGCUGGGUUAGGAGUCAUUUAUAGAAGCAUCACAUAGUAACUGGUCCACCUAAAAGGGGAUGACAGAGGAAAAAAGAUGGUUACAUGAGAAAAUAGGAAAUCGGACUUUAAAAGUAAAGCUAAUUUCCCCUCUAUCCAUGUUUCUUCCUCCAGUCAUAUAUAAGCCAACAUGAAAAGAACAUUAUGCCUGCAGUGAGGAGUAUGUAGCAGAAGCUGAUGAACUCUUAAAAACAAAUAUGUCAUUUUAAAUAUUCAUAGAAAUUAAAAUGGGGAAGGAAAAAAUGGAGAAAAUAUAUUAUUUAGCAUAAGAACACCUUCAUUAAAGAAUUAGUACGUCUUUAGUGUUAGCUAGGAGCACAGAGGAAUCAGUGCAGUAAUUGGGGAGCUGAGUUCCUAUUAAGAGGCCACUGAUUGGCUUAUUUAAUGGCUCUAGAGAAACUCUGUAAAUUUUCCCCCCUACUUUCAUACCUUGUAAAAUAAGUGUUAAAAUAGCUUUCACGUGCCUCACCUCUUAAGUUCUUAGUAAAUAUCCAUGAAUUAAUUUGAUUGAGAAAGAAAUACCUAUGUGUAGGUUAUUUUUAUCUGCAGUUGGAGACAUUUGUCUUCUUUGGGUCAGUCCAAUUCCUUUACCACCCAAUUUGAAAGUCUAGAAAAUAUAUGAAGGGAGCAGAUGCUAUGGAAAAACCUUGCUGAACCAUCACAGGAAAGAGCAGAGACACUUGUUGAUAUCUGUCACUCCAAUGACACAUUCUCUUCCUUGGUACAGUUUUGUAUUAGACAGAAGAAAGUCCUGUAUUAUAACCACUCCUUGUGUGAUAUCCGUUCUGUGGCUAGCAUCAUUACUUCUCCAAGUCUUUCUUUUUCUAUGAAUUUGGUGGGGGGACGCAAUUCAAUCCUAGGUAUUCAUUACCUGAGCAUUGGAAAAUACGUUUGAGAAGGUUGAACUUUGAGCUGUCUUUCAUGGAACCAGUCAUAUCACAUAUAAUUUCUAGUCCUGUUCAAAAUUAUUUUUUAGAAACCAUAGAGAAUAUUAUUCUAAGUUUACUAAAAAUAUCUGUGUCUUCAAAUAUCUGGGAGGCUAUUUUCCAAAUGAUUUCUAUGACUAUCUCAGAGAAGUGGGAUUAAGGAUGACACUGAUUUACAUGUAUUUUUACAUAUCCUAAUUUUUAAAAAAUGAAAUAUAUUAUAAAAAAAAAACACACACAUUUUUGUCACUUUUCCACGAGUAAGCCUGUCACUUUCAACAGCAUCAUAAGACCUCAGAUUCUUUAAGGAAACACCUUCCGAAGGGAGAGUUAAGGGAUGUGAUUUCAUUGUCUUUCAGUGUUGCUAUAGGAUUUCAUAUCUGAAAUGUAUUUUGCAAGCAUCUAAUAAUCAGACUCCUCACAGCUUUAUAAGAGGCUUCCACUUAGAUGAUGCAUUGAAGUUGAGGAUAAGCUGAUUUGUGAUGACUGUUGAAAGUGAAUCUUUUCUAUCUCACUGUCCUGUACUUCAUCUUCUGGGUCACGCUGCUUCUUUCAGUCCUUAAAGCCUUAUAACUUGCGCAGGCACGGCUUGCCAGCUGGAACUAGAGUUACGGUGGACUAAGUAUUGACAUCAUCUGGCCAAAUGCAGAGCCAAGGAAAUGAGCAUGCCUGAUAUAUGUGUGUCCUGAUUUACUUUGGAACGUCGCUCCACGGCUCACAACAAAGGCAGUUGUACUUUUUCCAUAUCACAUCCCCAAACCCACAUAUUACUGGCCCAAGGUUAGAGUGUUCUAAAUGGUAAGGAAAGACAGGAAAACCUGCCACAUCGUACGGACUCUCAACUAUCUGAUUAGGGAGUGAUUACAUAUUUGGUGUUAAGUUCAGAAUAUUUGAAAUUCAGGCUUUCCAUUUUAGACUGUGUGACUUCACCUGGUUAUAAUUUGCAUUUUAUUGUGAGAGUCAGCAGAGCCCUAACUCACCCCUUUGGAGACAUUACCUCAUCAAUCCUCCCCAUGGUCCUUUGGGAGCGAUGGGGUCAGACGUGCUGAGGAAGAGAAAACAGAAAUUAGGCUUUUCGCUUAGGAACGUGACUCAGAGGUGUGGGCCCCCGGUCAGGAAGGAAUGUGGGCUCCUGAGUCCAUGGUGGGGCGCUGGCCCCUGGCGAACCAGCAGGAGGUAGCUCCUCUGUGUCAGUGCACUCCUGUUUCCGAUCCACACAGUGGAUCCGUGGGACCUUCUGGUGGGAAUUCUGCUCUUUGUCUUUCUCUUUACUCCCAAUUUCUUUACUUCCUAAGUGUAUCCCAAAGCCAUUCUGCAUUUGGCUCAGAAGAGAGAAACUAUCUUGUUUGGUCCCCUAAAUAUCAACCUGUGGUGUUUGAGCUCUUCUCCCACAUUGUAAACUUUUCAUCACAGGAUAACGUUUUAUGAUUUGACUCAUAGCACUGCCGAGCACAGCCCAGUGCCCUCCCUCCUCCGCCUGCCCCAUCCCUCUCUACCCCUUCCCCCAGCAUUCUCUUCCUGAUUUGUGUUCAUCGUGGAGUGUACGUUUUCCCCCACUAGCGUAUACCCUCCUUGAAGGCAGGGAUUUUUCCUAUGGUGUUCCCAAGUGUCUCGAGUAGGGACUGGUUCAUAGGAGACCCUCAAUAAGUACUCAUUGAAGAAAAAAACUGGUAUUUAUAGGAGGAGCUCCAUAAAGACAUGGUUGUAUAUAUAUAUUUUUAUUUUUGGUUGUUGGGGGCUGGUUCUCCAAUUACUCUGCUCUGAAUCCUUUUUUUUUUUUUCCUCCUGUGUUCACAGUGACCAAAGAAGAGAUUACAAGUGAUGACUUUUGGUUUUAUGGAGAUGAUGAGCCCAUUUUAAAUGGAGACUAGACAAAGGAGAGCAGAGAAACAGCCGAAUUUCAUGCUUAGAGAAGAUAGAUUUCCUGGCAUGGAAGAGAGCUUUUCAUACCAAGUAACUUAGAAAAAUGUACCAUCUAACAGAGGGGCCAGGGAGGGUGUCACUGAAAUGCAAACAGGAAUAAAGCACUUUGCAUUUCCUUAGACUCAAAGAAUCCCAGCCCAAGCUGGACCCUAGGUGAGGAAAUGAGGGUGCAGAGAGAUGAUGAACUCGAAGUCACACAGUUAAAUGAUGUCUGAGCUGACUUUGGUCAGUGCAGCAUGCUAAAUAAUCUUUAAGAAGUGGUUACUUAGAAACAGAUCUACCGGGACCCCGCAGCUAGUAACUUCCGCGAUUUCUCUGGACUCCAAAAGUUUCUUAGCUAGUUUUACAGUCAGCAAUCAUGUAAAAUCAAGUGCAGUCUUUUGAAGUUAUAUCAGCUCAAAUCAGGUUAUGGCAUGGUUUGGCUAAGUGAGGCAAACCUUACAGGAAGACAAAAGUUCCUAAUGUUACAGAGCACCUAAGGUCAUAUCCAUCUGCUCCAGUAGAAGUAGAAUUCCUAAGGCUCUCACUGUGACUAUGCAAAUUAUCACCCUGGAGGGUGGGGUGGGGUGAGCUCCUCAGCACCCAUACUUGGUGUCUGUCUUUUGAAAAGCUGAGCAAGUUUAAGAAUGGAGGUCUUGCUACCUUGCUGACAGCUUGAGAGCUGCUUCUGGCUAAGGAAGGAGCAGGACAGGGCUGCAGUGCACUUCAAAACUUACUGGGCUCUGAACCAGAAAUGAUGCUUGCCUUCUCUGCUCUGAGCACCUGGUGAUCCCUCCCUGUAGCAAGGCUUUCUGACUGUCUCUCCUCUUGGGUUGUGUGUGUGAACAGAGUAGUGCUGGAGUGAAUCCAAGAGGCUUAGAAACAGGUUCAAACCAUUCCAAUAAUUUGAAUCAAGUUGAUGCUCUUUGUAUUAAUAUAGUACCUGUAUUACGGAAAUAGUAACUUUGACACUAUAAGUUCACCCAGGAAUAGACUUCUUAGAAAUAUGUCCUUCUUAGUGGAACACAAGGUACUACUCAUGACACCUGUAUGUUAUUCUUUCUAUCUCCUCUACACUCUUUUAUCCAUCCUUUCCUCUUUGCCUUCUCCUUCUCUCCCACCUGUGUCUUAGGCCUGCCAGGGACCCUCACACUGGCAGACAGGACUAGAGAGAGACAGCAGUUCCUGACCUUUCCACAGUUGCCAGCUUAUUUCUUAAUAUGGUAAUUUCUCCUUAUUCAGAUAGAAUAUUUAGGGAGUUCCCAUUUUGCUGCAGUAGAAGCAAAUCUGACUAGUAUCCAUGAGGAUGCAGUUUCAAUCCCUUGCCUUGUUCAGUGGGUCAGGGAUCUGGCAUUCCUGUGAGCCGAGGUAUAGGUUGCAGAUGCAACUUGGAUCCCAUGUUGCUGUGGCUGUGGCAUGGGCCGGCAGCUGCAGGGCCCAUUUGACCCCUAGCCUGGGAACUUCCAUAUGCCACAGGGGCUGCCCUAAAAUUCAAAAAGAAAAAAGAAAAAAGAAAAGAGACUAUUUAAGGCUGUGGUUUCCUGUGCUGCUGUAACAAACUAGCACAAAUGCAGUGGUUUAAAACAACACAAAUGUAUUAUCUUAUUUUUGGAAAAUAAGUAGUCCUAAAAAUCAAGGUAUCAGCAGGACUGAGUUCUCCUGGAGAAUCUGUAACUUUGCCUUUUCCAGCUUCUAGAAGCCUUGGUCCAGCUUCUUUGGCUUAUGGUCCCUUCAUCUAUCUCCAAGGCCAGUAGUGUAGCAUCUUCAAAUCUUUCUCUCUCUCCUCCCCCUCUGCCUCUCCCCACUCCAUCCAUUCCUCCCUCCCUCUGCUUCCACCAUCACUCGUCCCUCUCUGGCCUUCUUUCCUCCUUCUUAUAAGGACCUUUAUGAUUGCAUUAGGUCUACUAAAAUAAUCCAGGAUAAUCCAUUCCAUCUCAAACCUUUUAGCUUAAUCACAUCUGAAAAGUCCAUGUAGCCACGCCACAUGGACAUCUUUGGGGAUAUUAUUAUUAUCAUUAUUAUUAUUAUUAUUAUUUCUUUUUACCACACCUGUGGAGACAGUAACUCACUGGCUUGAACAUUUUUAAUCAAAGAAUAAGCAGCUUUAGGCUCUCUUGUGGGAAUGAGCUCAGUUUCCAAAAAAAAAAUGCACAGGCAGAGUCAUACACAGAGAUAGGGUUGUAGUUGCUUCUGGUUGAAUUUCAUUCUCACAGUGGUUUGAUUUAGGGAAAACUGAAGCAGUUGGAUAGGCAAGAAGAGCUUUGGAAUAAACUAGAUUCAGAGUUUGAAGUUCAGCUCUGGCAUUUGCUGUGGGAAAUUGGGUGUGUUUGCUUAACUAUAAAAUG
ensembl:lncRNA